UCGAGAGAGUGUGGGUGAGGAGGCGGGAAAUGGCGUCUGUGAGCACAUCGCAGUAUCAGCUACUAGACCGUUCAUAAAAACAGCAAAGAGGAACUAAAAAAACGAAAAAGCAGCUGCUGUCCGCACCGUGGCAGCCAGCAGUGCUUGAUCAGUCAACUCGUUUUCUAGAUAAGGUGGAGUACUGUAAAUCUUACAUGUGGCUCUUAAAACAAUGAGGCUGAGAAUGCGGAAGGCAUCUCAGCAGUCGAGUCCUGCCCAUGCGCCCCGCCCAUCCCGGACCAAGCGGAGGCAUUCAGAAGUGGAGGAGUGCACGCCGACAGGUGGCGGGAGAGGCCUGCUGUCCACCAUUAAGAAAUUAAUCAGAGGAAAUGCUGUCAAGGUAGAGCAGGAGAACCCAGCAAAGAAGACACGGCUCACCUGCGACGUAGACGACAACCUGAUCUCUUCCACACCACAAGGCGGCGAUGCCCCCAGGAGGACAAUCUCCAGGGUUAGCAGGAGAAACUCGGUCAACGGGGAAGCGACAAACCAUGACACGAGUAGUAAGCCUGUGAAGCCCAAUGGGAAGCUGGAGGAGGCGGCAGAGACCUUGACCAGUCCGCCUAGAACAAAACUCCUGGGAACCAUCUUCUCUCCAGUCUUCAACUUCUUCUCACCAGCAAAUAAAAAUGCCACGUCAGGUUCGGACUCCCCAGACCAGGCAUUGGAGGCUGAGGAGAUCGUCAAGCAGCUGGACAUGGAGACGGUGGAGGAGACCCCCACCUGCACUGCCACCUCCACCGAGGAAGUGUGUACGACUAUGCCCAUUUACUCCAGCAACAUGCUGCCCCCCAUGCGGCCCCCACACCCUCCAGAAGUGCCCAUCGAGGAAGAGGAGGUCGUCACAGACAUGCCUCCUCUCACAGCCCCAGACGCCCCUCCAGAAGGAGGCUAUGUGGAGGCACAGCCCACAGCCCGUGCAGAGGGGACAUACGAGGAGGACUGGGAGGUCUUUGACCCGUAUUUCUUCAUCAAGCAUGUACCUCCACUGACUGAGGAACAGCUGACCAGGAAGCCUGCCCUCCCACUAAAGACCCGCAGUACACCAGAGUUCUCCCUGGUUCUCGACCUGGAUGAGACAUUGGUGCACUGUAGCUUGAAUGAGCUGGACGAUGCAGCACUUACCUUCCCGGUCCUGUUUCAAGAUGUAAUUUACCAGGUGUAUGUGCGUUUAAGGCCGUUCUUCAGAGAGUUCCUGGAGCGCACGUCUCAAAUCUAUGAGAUCAUUCUCUUCACUGCCUCAAAGAAGGUUUAUGCAGACAAGUUGCUCAACAUCUUGGAUCCCAAGAAACAGUUGGUUAGACACAGGUUAUUUCGUGAGCAUUGUGUCUGCGUACAAGGGAACUACAUCAAGGACCUGAACAUCCUUGGAAGAGACCUGUCCAAGACCGUCAUCAUUGACAAUUCACCACAAGCCUUUGCAUAUCAGAGUAUACCUUCCUGUAUCCCUACAGCUUUCCAAUGGGAUUCCCAUUGAGAGCUGGUUCAUGGACAAAAAUGACAACGAACUCCUGAAGCUUGUCCCGUUCUUGGAGAAGCUUGUUGAGCUGAACGAGGAUGUGAGGCCACAUGUUCGAGAACGGUUUCGUCUGCACGAGCUUCUUCCCCCAGACUGAUCCCUGGAAUAGACGGACAGAAGAGAUAACGAAUGAUUGAAUAAACCAACACAGACAUGUAAAAAGCCCUCUUUGGAUUACAACAUUGCCAUUACUGUUUAAGGUUUCGCUUUUUCUCUUUUUACCCCACAUAGUUUUUUUUUCUUUCAUUGAUAAUGACAAUGCAAAGUAAAAAUUUUGAAGCAACAUCUGGUUAAAAAUAAUUUACAAAGCCACAUGUUUAGAUCACAUUACUGUGGGCAAGAUCAAGAAGGCUCCUCCUUUUGACUGGCUUUUUUUCAUGAGCAGUUUCUUUCUCCCUGCUUCCUAUCGGAGGGGCCAAGGUGCUGUCUGUCUGGACUGAAUGUGUUAGCUGACAGAGAAGAGGAUUAUACUUGCUCCCUUUGGUGCUUUCAUGGGACUGUUGACAGUGACACUCAUUGGCUACAGACCAAUUUGAACAGGAAUGGCCAGUAAAGUGUGUGUGUUUUGUGUGUGGGUACAUAGCUUAUCUUUUCUUUCCAGCUUGGGGUUUUUACAAACUUUUUACCAGUAGCCUAUAGGAUCUCAUUAUGCAUUCCUCUAGCUGAAUUUCUUUGUUUUGUAGACACUCGUUGUAACCGCAAUGUGUUAUUUUACCCCAUUUCACAAUGUUGCAUUUGCUUUUUUCUGCCUAUGUUUUAUGUAGGUGUUCUCCAAGGCUGUUGAUUGGAAAAUAACAUUGAUGUUAUGGUAGGAUAUCCCCAUGCUAUGUCAAAUCAAAUUGAACAAAUUCACAGCUUCCUGUAUAAUUUGUACUUCUGUUUAAACAAUAGUUGGCUUUGUUUGAAUUAAUAGGACACUUUGCCAAUAAUCAAUCAAUUAGUAUAACGUUCAAGAAAUUUGCAUCAAGGGACAGACAGUUCGUUUGACUAAAUGUUCCCCGCUUCUCAAGUGACGUGUUGACAUUUUUCUUUUAUAGUAACAUUUUUAUUUGUCAUUCAUAUAUUUCAAUGUAUUUUUACUCAACCAGGGUUUUAUUUUUAUGGAUAUGUCUAGUAUUGAAUUAUAACUCAUGUAGAUUUCACCCCUGUCUGUUACUGGGGGCAAUUUGAUGGAUUGAUGGAUGGAUGGAUGGAUGGAUAGAUGGCUGGGUCCUGAAACAGCCCAAAAUGUAGCACCACCAGCAUAUAAACAGCAAGCCUCGGCACUGUGGUAUAAACCCAACCUGCCUAGUAGGUUUUUUUUGUUUUAGGAAUUGGUUUUAUUAUAUGGCUUUAAAGCCUUUUUAAAUGCAGUAGAAAGAAGCAGCGUUUUUGGAGAACCUUCGUUAUGAAUGUCUGGAUGUUUCUGCCCAGACUUGGGAGAGUUGUAGAGAAAUAUACCAUGAUGCAUUGUCAGAUAUUGUACCUAGUCAUGUUAUUUCAUGUGGCCUAACCAGAUCAUAGACACUUUAUUGAUGAUAAACUGUAAGGAAAAAAUUACACCUAAAACGGUUACCGUUCCAUGUCCAUUUGGCCCUUUUGUUGAUAUUAUGGACUUGUACAUUAGCUGGUCAUGUAUAUGGUGCCAUAAAAACCUCCUUCCUAACAUGAUCAAACAUCGCCACCCAUGUCAGCUUUUUUUCUCUCUCUCUCUUGUUGGAAGUGUUUAAGUCGGAGACAAUCAACCCUCGAAUAUCAAAACACUCAAAUCGGAAAGGAAAUUCUGGUCCGUUUGCUCUAUUUUUGUUCUAAAUUGAAUUGUGCCAUGCGAACAAAGUUGUUAGGUGAAUCCAACUGUGCCCUAUCCCAGCUAAUCAUGCAUGUCAUUUUGCCAAACAUCUGAAGGACUGAGGGUAAAAACCCUGUAGAAUACCAGUCCUUUUAGCCUGCUCUCUCAUUGCCUUUCUGGAAAUCAUCACCCUAUAAAACUGAACUGACAGAUGAGUUACACUACAGGGCGGAUAUUUGUUUUUAGAUUUUUUUGCCGACCCUAAAUAUUUCCAGACUAUGAAUGUAAUUUUUUCCCACACUUGAUCCCAAAAUGGGGGGGAAUUAACAAAUCAAAAGUCCAUGAUCCAAAGGAUCUAUCAAUUUCUUAGAUUUUUGCUGCUUUGAACGCGCACAACGAGUAAUUUUUUUCCGCCAUUUGUAUAUAAAAAAAUAUAUAUAUAUAAAUAAUGAACACCCUAUUCUAUAGCAUUUUCAAAUAUGCAACCCUAUCCAUACCCACUUUAGCGGUUGGUUGAGAGUUGGCCCCAUAAGCCUGACAUGGCCCCUAGGAGGAUGAACCUGCUCCUUAAAGGGGGCCUGGCACUUUUCUAUCAAGGGAGAGCUUACUUUGUAAUUGUUUAAGGAUGGGCUAUUUGACAUGUACAUCCAGUUCAUUUUUAUGUGAAUUCUACCUGUUUUAUUGUACAAUGGAAAUUGUACAAUACAUGCAGCUUUGCGUUAAAGGAAAAUCUUUUUGUAUUUUUUAUUUCAAAAGGCAUGUCAUCUACUUUUUAAAUGUAUUCAUUAAGAUUUAACUUUACAUCAGAGGGAGUGUUUUUCUUACAAAUAUCUGUGUAUGUUUAGUUAGGGCAGUGUCACUGAACUGUUAGAAACCUAGCAUGUAUGUACAGAAUCUUGUUUUGUGGGGAAGUCCUGAAUUAAAUUUUAAUCUUGGCACUUUUUCUGCAGAAAAGAACAACUGUGGUAAUUAACUUUUUUCAAUUUCCGUUAAGGUGUAUUUAAAAUGUAUUUUUAAAUGCUUAAAAUGACAUCUUUGUUAACCAUGUUGUAAAAUGUACAUACCAAAUUGCAUUGAAGUAUUGAACAAAGUUUUAAAG